UACGUAGGCAGCAAGCGUUGUUCGGAGUUACUGGGCGUAAAGGGUGUGUAGGCGGUUUUUUAAGUUUGGUGUGAAAUCUCCCGGCUCAACUGGGAGGGUGCGCCGAAUACUGAAAGACUAGAGUGCGGGAGAGGAAAGUGGAAUUCCUGGUGUAGCGGUGAAAUGCGUAGAUAUCAGGAGGAACACCGGUGGUGUAGACGGCUUUCUGGACCGUAACUGACGCUGAGACACGAAAGCGCGGGUAGCAAACAGG
rnacentral:rRNA from 1 species